rnacentral:lncRNA from 1 species
UUUCAUGCCAGGCCAGUAGACGAAUCUGCCUUGUGGAGUAGAUGUGAUUGUCAGGCCUUGCUGUGGACCUGAUAAAGGAAUCUCCUCGUCCAGAUCCGAGUAGUAGUCGAGGUCCUCGAUCGAAUCCAAGUCGGAUUGUGAUCUGGACAGGGAAGCUUGGUAGAUGGUGCCCGCAUUUCAGAGUCCGAACGGGAACUAACUUGUAUCAUAGACCGAUUCGCACGAUAGCUCAAGCGCCAGCUUGUGAG